rnacentral:rRNA from 1 species
GAUGAACGCUGGCGGCGUGCUUAACACAUGCAAGUCGAACGGACUGAGGGAGCUUGCUCCCAAAGUUAGUGGCGGACGGGUGAGUAACGCGUGGGUAACCUGCCCUAUGCAGGGGGAUAACGUUUGGAAACGAACGCUAAUACCGCAUAAUCUAGUUGGUUCGCAUGAACUGACUAGCAAAGAUUUUAUCGGCAUAGGAUGGACCCGCGUUAGAUUAGCUAGUUGGUGAGAUAACAGCCCACCAAGGCAACGAUCUAUAGCCGGCCUGAGAGGGUGGACGGCCAGACUGGGACUGAGACACGGCCCAGACUCCUACGGGAGGCAGCAGUGGGGAACAUUGCACAAUGGGCGAAAGCCUGAUGCAGCGACGCCGCGUGAAGGAUGAAGGCCUUCGGGUUGUAAACCUUUUUCGCUUUUGACCAAGGCAGCAUUUUGGUGUUGUUGAGGGUAUGAGGUAAAGAAGCUCCGGCUAACUACGUGCCAGCCGCCGCAGUAACAC